CCGCACCCGGCCAACUUCUUGUCUUAACCACUCAGGCUAGAAGAAAUGACCUGUGGGCAGCUUGAGGGCUGUUCUACCUACAAACUAACUCAGAGGCUUUAAUGAUUUAAGACAGAGGACUAAGUAUAGUUAUGUGGAGAAACAGCUUCCCUUCAAGCUCUACAUAUUUCCAUCGUUAACCAUGUGCACCAGGUUCCAAAGUAGGGGCUAUGUAUUAGCAGGUUUUCUUAAAAGUUUAAUAAUGUCACUGACAGAUACUUCUGUCUCUAAGAAGUUUACACUAAGUUCUCUUUAAUUGGAGACAACUCACUUAGGAAGAAUGAUUACACCCACACUGAAUUCAACACCCACCAGAGCUGUCUCACCUUACAUUUGACCAAAAAAAAAAAAAAAAGACUGCAUCACUAGAGAAACAGUCUGAAUUUUAUCAAACAUCCUUCUUAGCUAUACAGAGGGCUGGCUUUAUGAGCCAAGGGAACAGAUCUAGAAAGAUCUGUCAUCUGACAAAUGAAAGGGCUGCGGAAAGGGCACCAAGCAGAUCCUUCCGAGACUUCAAUGCUGGGUGUCGGGUCUGUGAAGCACUCACUCCCGUCUGCUUCUAGGGAGCAAGGAGGUGUAUGCCAUAAACUGAUAAAGACACAGUGCUGGGUUCUAAUCCUACGUCUGCCACUUACUUGGAGAACUUGGAAAAAAAUAAAUCCCUUCACUUUCCAUACUGUUUCAGCUUUUCUUGCCAAGCCACAUCUUAAGUUGCUGUCCAGUCUAUAGAUUGGUCCCUGUAGGUCAGAAGCCUAACUAACUACGUAGUCAGGUGGCAGGAUCAUGUGAAGCAAAAAUCAUCUUUCCACUGCUGCUGCUCCAGUGAUGGCUGGGGUGGAGCGAUUUUAUUUAGUUAUGGCUGUGAUAAAUACCAUACCUAGUAAAUGUCUAGUUAAAAGAGCUGCCAAGUAAGUGUUUUUUCAGUGAAUUAAUGAACCUUCCAUUUUUUAAGACUCAGCUUAAAUGUCAUCUCCUUAGUGAUGUCUUCCUUAAUUUUCCUUCCAUCCUAGUGGGAUAAAUUAGUCUUUUCUUUGUGCCACCACUGGACCUAGUAACUAUUAUAAUAUUAACAUUGUAUCAUUAUUGUUUACUUAUUUGUCUUUCUCUCAUACAACAUAAUUCCCAAAGGCAGGAAUUGUAACAUUCAUCCUUAUUCCCCCAGGGCCCAACAAUAACUGGUCAUAAGAAAAUUAGUAAUAGGCUGUCCGUAAAUGGAUAUGAAAGAGAAUUACUGAAUAAAUGAGUGAGAUAGUUCCUUUGGGCUCCAACAUUCUAUGGCUCUUUGAAAUAAUAAGCUGCUAUAUUAAGAACCAUAAAAUGAAACUAGUUGGCUUUACACAGUAUCCCCAUUAAUAGAAAGAUAAGGACAACAGUGGUUUAAUGUAUUGAGUCCUUACUAAAUGCCAUGCAGUGAGUUAAUACUUUCUAUGAAUUGCCUCAUUUAAUACCUACAAUGACUCCAGGUACUGCUAAUGUUAUCCUGAUCUGACAGAUGAGAACAGUGAAACUAAGAAAUUAGACAAAUACCCAACCAGUGAGUGGCAGUGAGCUGCAGUUCAAAGUCAAGGCUAUUUGACACCAAAGCCCAUAGUUCUUUAAAAAGAAAGAAAAAUUAAAAAUAAGGUGAUGCUGAUAGCUUGUAGUUCUCUCAGUCUAUUCUAAGGCUUCACAAAGGCCACCUCGGUAUUUAAUAGAACAAAGACUAUCUGAGCCAGUAGGAACCUUUAAAGGGCAUCUAGCCAGCCCCAACAUUUUAUACUUGAAUUUUUUCUUUUUUGAAACGGAGUCUCUCACUGUCACCCAGGCUGGAGUGCAGUGGCACCAUUUCGGCUCACCGCAACCUCUACCUCUUGGGUUCAAGUGAUCCUCCUGCUGCCUUAGCCUCCCAAGUAGCUGGGAUUACAGGCUCGUGCCACCAUGCCCAGCUAAUUUUUGUAGUUUUAAUAGAGAUGGGGUUUCACCAUGUUGGCUAGGCUGGGGUUGAACUCCUGACCUCAAGUGAUCUGCCCACCUCGGCCUCCCAAAGUGUUGGGAUUACAGGCGUGAGCCAUGGCGCCUGGCCUAUAGUUGAAAUUUGAAGCCCAGAGAGAACAAUCUGGCUCCAGUCUCAGGGUUGGUUAGUAGAACAGCCUGUCUAGAACCCAACUCCCAGGGCAUACUCCUACUGUUCCUGUUACUCAGAUGUUCCCUCAGUUCAUUCACUAUAUUAUUAAACUUCUGUCUCAUCUUUUUUUCUUUUAGCACCCUCAAGGACAGGGACCUUGUCUUGGUCAUCCCUGCAUCCCAAGAGCCUAGCACAGGACCUGG
rnacentral:lncRNA from 1 species